rnacentral:lncRNA from 1 species
CAGGCUCAGCGGCAGCCCCCAGGGUCUCAGGGCUGCAAGAAUCAAGAAUUGCUAGGGCAAGCUCCAUGCCCCCCAGAUCACACAAAUGACCCCCUCCCGUCCAUAUAGGUACUCAGCUCUGCUAAGUGCAGGGGGGCGGGCAGCCAUCAGGAGGCCCCAACAACUCAGCCUAGGUGGAAGGAAGCUCGGGGAGAGCAGACAAAGGAUGCAGGGGAACUCCUCCCCCCCAGGAGUGGGCUGAGGGCUGAGUUAUGGGGCAGGUGAGGGUGGCCAAAGGGACACGAGGGGAGGGAGAAGGGUUGUGCAGAGAAACAGAGAGGGGAGAGCGCUAGAGCUUCCCCACACACAACUCUGGCCCCUAUGCACCAGGAAGGCCAGGAGCCACAGUGCCGGCCCGGGGCCCUGGUGCUUCCACUGUGCAGGACUGCAAGGGCUCGGGGGCUGGUGUAUGCGCCUCCACGCCUGAGUGUGCGCCUGUGCGAGAGUGUGUGGCGGGGACAGAGGAGGACACUGUGUUCCGGACGUGGGCAGCGGCCAGGUGCCAAGCUGGGAAUUGCCCCUUCCAUGGAGUAACCUCAGGACCUGCCUAAGCCUGAGCUCUGGGCUGCAUUAUUUUACUUCUUCUACAGGGAAAGACUCUGCUGUUCAUCACUCCGGGGAUAUCUGCAUGAAGCAGAGGGGUCCAGCCGUUCCCAUCCAGACUUCUGAAGGCCCGUGUCAUCACUUAUUCCCGGAACCUGGCUCCCAAGAAGGAACGUAUAACCAGCCUGUGGACCAUGAUGAGAGAGUACUCCCACCCUCCACCCCACAAGAGCACUUCACGUGGCAGCCCUCCUGUUCCUGGCGGCUCCUGAACAUGAGCUUGGCAAACACUUCAAGCCGGAAGACAUGUUACCCAGGAAAAGAAUUGCUUUCAGGGACUCAUUGUCAAUAAAUUGCUUCUGGAAUUCUAUUUACCUCUAUUUCCCCUUUUCACACAAAGAAAACAAGUCACAGAUGGCUUUGCAAAAUUCUCUGAAGGAAGUUGCCAAAGGUCUCUAACCUCCUAAGUUCCCGUUCUCUCUCUCGGUCCUGAAUCAUUCGGACCACGUGUCAC